rnacentral:sRNA from 1 species
UUGACAACAUUAGAGACUGAAUUCCUCUAUUUAUCAAUAGAAAGUUACAGCACAGAAAGCAACUAUAAGGUUCAUCACAAUGCCCUGCUACCAUGCCUGAACUCUGACCUGGAAGGACAUUUAGCAGGUAAGUAGCUGAGUCUCUACAGACAUUCAGUCCUUAAACUCU